rnacentral:lncRNA from 1 species
AGUGAGCUAACGCUAUGUAGAAAGCUUUCCUAAAUUAAGGGUUAAGAUAAAAAGAUUUUGGCCCCAUUCACAGUUAACCAGGAACUUCCUCUAGCCAAAUGCCCCAUUCCCCAAACCGCCUGUCUAAGAGAGGUUUUGCUGCAUCUGUCUCUUUGUUUUGCUUUCUUCCCUCUGUUCGCUCCCAGGGCCUUCCUUUCACUCUGGGUUCCUGUGCUCCUGUCUCCACAGCAGCAUUUUCUUCUCUUCCUCUCUCCUCUCCGCCUGCUCCGUUGUCAGUGCUUGACUCAGCCGGAGCUAUGUGGGAACGGGCGCGGACUGAAGCAGUGAGCCGGGACUCUGAGGGAGAGGCAUUGUCUAUUUACUCUUCACAUGGUAGGGUACACCUCGUUCCUCCUCAGCUGACCACUCUUGUUGAAGCUAUUUUGGUGCGUGAGGCCAUAAUCCCAGACUCCAGAUCGAGUAUAGAAAGCAAUGCACACAGGGUGGAUGGUCAGAGAGAUUUAUGUUUCUGAGGGAGGAGCCUGGAACUUUGACAAGACGCAGCUGGUUGAGGGAGUGAGCUGGAAGAUUCAGCCCCAGGGUGAGGAAGAAGAGGAGGAGGGGGCCUUUAAAUAGCAGGUGGCUUCGCUGUUUCCAUAAAUGAAAAUGUUCUAUUUUCAGAAGAAGCCACCAAGAAGAGAGUGAAGAAUGUGCUCACAGAGACACAGCUGUAAGUGGCAGAGCCGGGAUUCAAACCCAGCUUGGUCAGAAGACUAACACUCUUAGCUACCCCACUCUGCUGCCUCUCUCAUCCUGCAUCGUGAAGGAGUUCACAACAUGCCGACCCAAAAUACGCCACUCUGGCAUAGUGACUAUUUUGAGAUAAAGGCACUUUAAAAAAUAGCAAAUAUGUGAAAAACACUCUGACGAUUCUUCUUUUUCUUAAAAGCAGGAGAUAAAUUCCCAUAUGAAAGAUGUCUUCUCUACACCAGAAGGAAAGUAACGUUCUUAUCAUCCAGGAUAAGUUGAGAUCAAGAGAAUUCUAUACAAACAGACCUUGUUAAAAUCAUUCUUAUCUUCCUUCGGCCUCCCCGCAGAGUGGUGGCUUUUCUACCAUUGCCUCUCUUUGUUCAAUAUACCAUAAAAGCAAGUAGGUUUUGCUCUUUCUUUGGGUCUUCAUUCCUUACGGGUUCUCCCGUGUCACCUAAAACUUAUAUUAAAUAAAUUUGUAUGUUUUUCUCCUGUUGAUCUGUCUUCUGUCCAUCUAAUUCUCAGGCCCAGCCAAAAAGACCCCCGAGAGCGUAAGGGUAGAGCCAGCCUCCCCUGCACCUGCUCCCUCCUAAAUGCACCUGUGCUCCUCCCUCAUUUUACCCG